CUGUCUUUUGUUUUGUAUAUAUUGAUUGUAUAACGACAUUUUGUGAACCUUUUAUAGCCUUUCCAAAGCCGAAUGCAUUGUCCAGUUCCUCAUGUGCCGAAAAGGAAAUGGAAUCACGCGGGAGUCAUGUCAAGAGAGAUGCUUGUCGAUGCUUGUCGAGAUAACAAGAACAGCAUGAGAGAGUUUGUUGUGGCUUGUAGGGAAA